rnacentral:rRNA from 1 species
UACGAAGGUUGCAAGCGUUACUCGGAAUUACUAGGCGUAAAGGGCAGGUAGGUGGUUUGGUAAGUCUAUUGUGAAAGCUCCCGGCUUAACUGGGAGAGGCCAAUGGAUACUACCAGGCUUGAGUAUAGGAGAGGUUACUGGAAUUCCCGGUGUAGCGGUGAAAUGCGCAGAUAUCGGGAGGAACACCAAUGGCGAAAGCAGGUAACUGGACUAUUACUGACACUCAACUGCGAAAGCUAGGGGAGCAAACAGG